AGUGAACGCUGGCGGUAGGCCUAACACAUGCCAGUCGAACGGCAGCACAGUAAGAGCUUGCUCUUACGGGUGGCGAGUGGCGGACGGGUGAGGAAUACAUCGGAAUCUACUCUUUCGUGGGGGAUAACGUAGGGAAACUUACGCUAAUACCGCAUACGACCUACGGGUGAAAGCAGGGGAUCUUCGGACCUUGCGCGAUUGAAUGAGCCGAUGUCGGAUUAGCUAGUUGGCGGGGUAAAGGCCCACCAAGGCGACGAUCCGUAGCUGGUCUGAGAGGAUGAUCAGCCACACUGGAACUGAGACACGGUCCAGACUCCUACGGGAGGCAGCAGUGGGGAAUAUUGGACAAUGGGCGCAAGCCUGAUCCAGCCAUACCGCGUGGGUGAAGAAGGCCUUCGGGUUGUAAAGCCCUUUUGUUGGGAAAGAAAAGCAGCAGGUUAAUACCCCGCUGUUCUGACGGUACCCAAAGAAUAAGCACCGGCUAACUUCGUG
rnacentral:rRNA from 1 species